UUUAUUAAAUGGACUUAUUAAUUACUUAAAAUAUAAUAAAAAUAACAAUAUAAAAAAAUAUUUGUUACCCUAAAAAUCAAUCUGCCCAAGUGGGGGUCGAGAGAACACAAACACCCUGGCCAGCUUGGUGCAAAGCCUAAGAUCCCUUGUCUGGAUUCAAAGCCCAACUAUAGCUAGGCCUGCCCUCGAGGGACAUCCACAUUGACAGAGAGGCCCAUAUGACAGGUAUGACCCAAACUACCUCAAGAGGGAUGUAUGUCAUGUCCAACUAAGCAACUUGAAGACUUAGGACUCCUCGUUGAGAACAUUCUCCCAACCAGUUGAAGACUUGGAAAUGUUCUUAUCCAAAGAGGAUGACCCUAUCCACAAACAGAAGACUCAUUGUCAUCCUUAUCCAGGGAGGAUCGCCUUAUUUGUGGAAGGUAUCCUCACUUGCAAGAAAGCUUCCUCUCUCCCAGAAAAGAGGGACUCGGGUGGCCAAUGGAUAACUCUUCCCCCGAAUCCAUGGAGGCCUGGCUCUAUCCUAACGGCUUAGAGGAAGUACUUAUAAAUAUGGAAUUCACUCAUCCAAAAAGGGGCGACUGUCAAUUAUACCUGCUCAGGUAUCAAGAUAUUACUUUGCUUUGUUUUGGUUCUCUUUGGUCUUAUCGUCCUCUCUGUCACUUCGUUCAGUCAUUCUUCAAGUUAUUCAUGCUACAAGGCGGACUACAAGAGGGGGAUGCUCACGAGAGGUGGAAUGUAACCUACUUUUACGGAAUCAAGCUGGGUUGUUUCAAAACAUUCUUUAAUAAAAAGCAGUCAAUCCACUGAGAGAGACUGCCUCUACGCUGGGAUCAUCUGCAUUAGGCUAACUUUUUCUAUGAUAUUUUCUUUUUAGGUUUAAUAAUUCUCCUAUUAGUGAAGCUCAAGUAAACAGUUUUGAGAUAUCGAUUUUGGAAAUUGACAAGACUUUAGACUUUUUUAAUUUAUUUUUAGCUCCUUUGCUAUGUUGGGCAAUGCAUCCCUUUGCUUAAGAUUUUAGUCUUGAGAUAUUUUGUCGUUAUUUCAACAUUGGACUCAUUUUGAGGUUUAGGUUUUAUUAGUAAUGGGAUGUGACUUAUUGUUUUGUCAUGGAGUAUCUUACUUGCAUAGUUGUCUCC